ACUCUUGGAACCGGAGCGUCCACUGAGUGGCGCCGCAGCCCGCAACUUCCGCAGUAGAUCCCGGCCGGCGUCUCCUCCCCGCUGCACACUGCAGGCUCAUCCGCUCACACACGCUCCGUGUUGGGUUACAGUGACAAGGGCCCCUGUCUGAACCACGACUUUUAGAAAGAUAAUAUUACAGGCUCACAACUGAUCCAAUCCUGCAGCACAAAAAUUGAGACAGGGAAGGUUAAAGCACUCUGAAUGCACGGGACCAUACUGCAGGUGUUUGUGCCUUUGGCGAAGCCUUGGUGUUUUGUUCCUCCUGAGCUCCGCAUGAUGACCCGCAUGAAGACAGGUCUCACAAAGCGCCUCCCAGCACUCCUCCAUGUUCUCCUCCAUCUGCCUCCUGUCCAUUGAUCAGCCUUCCAGGGCAUCAGUCUGUUUAACAUCUGCUACAAGUUCCAGCAGCUCAGACGAUGACAAUCAUCAGCUCCGUUAUCAGGACCGUCAUGUGAUCAGCUGUAUGAAGAGGUGACUCUGGGCGGCUCCACUGACAAUAAGCUCUCACCUAAAUAAAGCCUGCUGGGUUUUGAUCGAG